rnacentral:rRNA from 1 species
UGGGGAAUAUUGGACAAUGGGCGCAAGCCUGAUCCAGCCAUGCCGCGUGAGUGAUGAAGGCCUCAGGGUUGUAAAGCUCUUUCGGCGGGGACGAUAAUGACGGUACCCGCAGAAGAAGCCCCGGCUAACUUCGUGCCAGCAGCCGCGGUAAUACGAAGGGGGCUAGCGUUGCUCGGAAUCACUGGGCGUAAAGGGCGCGUAGGCGGACAUUUAAGUCGGGGGUGAAAGCCCAGGGCUCAACCCUGGAAUUGCCUCCGAUACUGGGUGUCUCGAGACCGGAAGAGGUGAGUGGAACUGCGAGUGUAGAGGUGAAAUUCGUAGAUAUUCGCAAGAACACCAGUGGCGAAGGCGGCUCACUGGUCCGGUUCUGACGCUGAGGCGCGAAAGCGUGGGGAGCAAACAGGAUUAGAUACCCUGGUAGUCCACGCCGUAAACGAUGGAUGCUAGCCGUUGGCAGGCUUGCCUGUCAGUGGCGCAGCUAACGCUUUAAGCAUCCCGCCUGGGGAGUACGGCCGCAAGGUUAAAACUUAAAGGAAUUGACGGGGUCAUAGCUGUUUCCU